GUGCCAGCAGCCGCGGUAAUACAGGGGGUGCUAGCGUUGUUCGGAAUUACUGGGCGUAAAGGGCGCGUAGGCGGCUUAACAAGUCAGAUGUGAAAUCCCGGGGCUUAACUCCGGACGUGCAUUUGAAACUGUUAGGCUAGAGUGCAGUAGAGGAUGGUGGAAUUCCCAGUGUAGAGGUGAAAUUCGUAGAUAUUGGGAGGAACACCGGUGGCGAAGGCGGCCAUCUGGGCUGCAACUGACGCUGAGGCGCGAAAGCGUGGGGAUCAAACAGGAUUAGAUACCCUCGUAGUCC
rnacentral:rRNA from 1 species